UUGCCAGCCCGGGGUCAGUAUAUCACUGUCCUCAUACUCAAUUAGUAGACAUACCCACUUUUUAUCAUCUGGAAAAAGAGAGAUCGGACGUUUCCUUUUCCUUUGAAGUUUAUAUGCCUAACUGUCAGAGCCUGGAGGUUGAUUAAGGGGCGAGUAUAUCAUUCUCAAUUUUCAGAUUUCUAGUUUCUCUAGAAUAGAAACUUGAAGAUUUCUGUUUGUUGUCAGGUAAGUUUUCUUUCAUGUCAUAUUUCAGUUCAAGAAAUAUUAGUCACAAUUUUCACUAAGUACAUAUAAGUUUUUCCUCAUCUGCUCCUCAUCAGCAUUUGAUUUUUGAUUUUCUCUUCUUUUUAAUAUGGUAAUUUUACAUGGAAAUUUCUUACUCCUGUUUGAAUCGAGGUGGUUCUUCUGGGAUCAGGUAAUUUAUUCUUCUAUAAAUAAUGUAGGGAAUGCAGUGAACAGUUAUGACAGUCAUCUUGAGUUUUCUGCUCCAGUCUGUGGAAACUUCUCAUCAACACUUCUCUGCCCUUUUGACUCGAUUUGUCUUCCUGUAAGUUGCAAGUCCCAGUGACUCAGAAUGAACCUGCCAGCCUUUUUUCCCCCUGUCUCUCUCUGGAUACAUUCAUCUCUUCAGAUGACUAAAAAAUUGGCAGAUGCAGAGUUCCUUGUGGCUUAGAAGUUUUCCUUUUUCCUGACGCAAAAGUAACCUGUUGGCAAAGGUGGGCAUAUCUGCCAAUUUCCAAAUUCGGUGUCGCCUUUCUGCCAUGCCAUGGUGUUGAACUAGGUUCAGGGAGGCUCUUUAGAGACAGCUGUGCUCUUCAUUCAUGUGGUCCCUUAUGUAACCUAGUAGGAAGGGAGACAAUAAUGACUGUCCACUUGGUGAGAUAAUGACAGCAUACCUGGGACAUUCUGUGUGGUAUGGCACUAGGUAAUUCUAGAGAUGUCUCCAGCUUUUCUGUGGCCCCCCUGUAAAGAGGUGUAGUUUCUACAUCUAAUAUUUUAUUUAGGUUUCUUUUUAAAAAUUGAAUGGUAUCAUUAGCCUGCUCCCCUUAUGUCAUUAAUUCCAAAUUCCAAGUAAAACAAUUUGGCCAGUGCCUUACUUGAUAACUUCCUAACCUGAUAACCCACUUUUGAAAAAAAAUCUUUCUUCUGAAAACUUUGUCUACAUAAACUGAACAUGUAAGUUUUGAUUUUACAGACUUUACUAUCUUUGGUAUUUAUUCUUCAAAGUUGCGAUUUGUAAUUUUAUUUAAUUUAUUGCAUCACUAAAUAUUAUUUUUUUCCUCUAUUUUGUUGGUUUUUAGUGGGAGUUUAGGGACAAAAUAAAAUUAUAAUUGCUGGAGUUUCAGGCCAUUAAUUGUAAAGCCACUCCAGAUUUCCAUUUUAAAGAAGCUGUCUCUGAUCAUUUGAUUAUUAGGGGUAGAGGAAGAGGAAAAUAAAGGCUGCAAACUAGUCCAAAGGCCUUUAAGUAAGAAUGCAUAUGUUGGCAUUGGCAAUAAAGAAAAUAAAAAAUAAUUUGAGACAUUUUAAGGAAAUAGGAUUGUCAGAAUUUCAUGAUUGUCCUUAAGCUGGGUUGAGGGAGACAGAAGAAUCAAAAAUAAUAGUUUGGUGUUGAAACAUCAGGUUAAUUUUCUGGUAUUUCCUGGAUUAAGGAUAUCAGGAAGAGAAGUGAAUUUAUUAUAAUAGAUGAUGAGUGUACUGUUGAAUAGGAUGAGCUUCUAAUGAUUCUGAAACAUCAAAUAACUGAUUUUUACCUCCAGGGUAUGUCAACGUCUGAAGACAUUUCUUGUUUUCACAACUGGGGGGCUGAUUGCUAGUGUCAUCUGCUCUACCAAUAAUGGAAAUAAUGAGCCCUUCCAUUGACUUUCGCCCUUUCAAAGCCAUUUCAUCUAAUCCCCAACUCCGUCACAAAGGCUCUGUAAAAUUGUGUCUCCCUCUGUCACCCAAACUAGAAUGAGUGGU